UACGGAGGGUGCGAGCGUUGUCCGGAAUCAUUGGGCGUAAAGGGCGCGUAGGUGGCCUGCUAAGCGUGCGGUGAAAGCUCGGGGCUCAACCCCGAGUCGGCCGUGCGAACUGGUGGGCUUGAGCACUGUAGAGGCAGGCGGAAUUCCGGGUGUAGCGGUGGAAUGCGUAGAGAUCCGGAAGAACACCGGUGGCGAAGGCGGCCUGCUGGGCAGUAGCUGACACUGAGGAGCGAAAGCGUGGGGAGCGAACAGG
rnacentral:rRNA from 1 species